UCCCCCGGGCGGGGCCCGGGGCCCUUCCGCCGGCCCCGGCCGAACGCGAAGAACCUUACCAGGUCUUGACAUCCUUUGAAGCUUUUAGAAAUAGAAGUGUUCUCUUCGGAGACAAAGUGACAGGUGGUGCAUGGUCGUCGUCAGCUCGUGUCGUGAGAUGUUGGGUUAAGUCCCGCAACGAGCGCAACCCUUAUUGUUAGUUGCCAGCAUUCAGAUGGGCACUCUAGCGAGACUGCCGGUGACAAACCGGAGGAAGGCGGGGACGACGUCAGAUCAUCAUGCCCCUUAUGACCUGGGCUACACACGUGCUACAAUGGCGUAUACAACGAGUUGCCAACCUGCGAAGGUGAGCUAAUCUCUUAAAGUACGUCUCAGUUCGGACUGCAGUCUGCAACUCGACUGCACGAAGUCGGAAUCGCUAGUAAUCGCGGAUCAGCAUGUCCGUCUU
rnacentral:rRNA from 1 species